UGGAGAGUUUGAUCCUGGCUCAGGACGAACGCUGGCGGCGUGCUUAACACAUGCAAGUCGAGCGGUAAGGCCCUUCGGGGUACACGAGCGGCGAACGGGUGAGUAACACGUGGGUGAUCUGCCUCGCACUCUGGGAUAAGCCUGGGAAACUGGGUCUAAUACCGGAUAUGACCARGGRCUGCAUGRUYUYUGGUGGAAAGAUUUAUCGGUGCGAGAUGGGCCCGCGGCCUAUCAGCUUGUUGGUGGGGUAACGGCCUACCAAGGCGACGACGGGUAGCCGGCCUGAGAGGGUGAUCGGCCACACUGGGACUGAGACACGGCCCAGACUCCUACGGGAGGCAGCAGUGGGGAAUAUUGCACAAUGGGCGGAAGCCUGAUGCAGCGACGCCGCGUGAGGGAUGACGGCCUUCGGGUUGUAAACCUCUUUCGACAGGGACGAAGCGUAAGUGACGGUACCUGUAGAAGAAGCACCGGCUAACUACGUGCCAGCAGCCGCGGUA
rnacentral:rRNA from 1 species